AUACGUAGGUGGCAAGCGUUGUCCGGAAUUACUGGGUGUAAAGGGAGCGUAGGCGGGCAGGCAAGUCAGGCGUUAAAUCCAUCGGCUCAACCGGUGGCUGCGCUUGAAACUGCAGGUCUUGAGUGAAGUAGAGGUUGGCGGAAUUCCUAGUGUAGCGGUGAAAUGCGUAGAUAUUAGGAGGAACACCAGUGGCGAAGGCGGCUUUCUGGACUGUAACUGACACUGAGGCACGAAAGCGUGGGGAGC
rnacentral:rRNA from 1 species